rnacentral:rRNA from 1 species
GAUGAACGCUGGCGGCGUGCCUAAUACAUGCAAGUCGAGCGAACAGACGAGGAGCUUGCUCCUCUGACGUUAGCGGCGGACGGGUGAGUAACACGUGGAUAACCUACCUAUAAGACUGGGAUAACUUCGGGAAACCGGAGCUAAUACCGGAUAAUAUAUUGAACCGCAUGGUUCAAUAGUGAAAGACGGUUUUGCUGUCACUUAUAGAUGGAUCCGCGCCGCAUUAGCUAGUUGGUAAGGUAACGGCUUACCAAGGCAACGAUGCGUAGCCGACCUGAGAGGGUGAUCGGCCACACUGGAACUGAGACACGGUCCAGACUCCUACGGGAGGCAGCAGUAGGGAAUCUUCCGCAAAGGGCGAAAGCCUGACGGAGCAACGCCUCGUGAGUGAUGAAGGUCUUCGGAUCGUAAAACUCUGUUAUUAGGGAAGAACAAAUGUGUAAGUAACUAUGCACGUCUUGACGGUACCUAAUCAGAAAGCCACGGCUAACUACGUG